rnacentral:rRNA from 1 species
CCUACGGGCGGCAGCAGUGGGGAAUAUUGGGCAAUGGAGGCAACUCUGACCCAGCAAUGCCGCGUGAGUGAUGAAGGUAAUUUUAUUGUAAAGCUCUUUUCUUUGGAACGAAUAAAUGACGGUACCAAAGGAAUAAGCCCCGGCUAACUACGUGCCAGCAGCCGCGGUAAUACGUAGGUGGCAAGCGUUGUUCGGAAUGACUGGGCGUAAAGGGUGUGUAGGGGGUUUGAUAAGUUAGAUGUGAAAUCCCAAGGCUUUAACUCGGGUGCGCAAUCUAAACCGGUUGGCUUUGGGACCUGAGAGGAAAGGGGAAUUCCCAGGGUAGCGGUGAGAAGCGUAGAUAUUAGGAGGAACAUCAGUGGCGAAGGCGACUAUCUGGACAGCAACUGACACUGAGGCACGAAAGCGUGGGGAGCAAACAGGAUUAGAUACCCUUGUAGUC